rnacentral:rRNA from 1 species
GACGAACGCUGGCGGCAUGCCUAACACAUGCAAGUCGAGCGGAGCGCCUGACGGUUGAGUAAUCCCUAUGUAUCUGCCUGGUCGUGUUCUAUAACGUUCGGAACCGGACUCUCAUACCACCUACUAUCCGAUGCGCCUAGGUCGGAUUAGCUAGUUGGUGGGGUAAUGGCUCACCAAGGCAACGAUCCGUAACUGGACUGAGAGGAUGAUCAGUCACACUGGAACGGAGACAAGGUCCAGACUGCUACGGGAGGCAGCAGUGGGGAAUAUUGGACAAGGGGCGAAAGCCUGAGCCAGCCAUGCCGCGUGUGUGAAGAAGGUCUUCGGAUUGUAAAGCACUUUAAGUUGGGAGGCGUUACCGACAGAAUAAGCACCGGCUAACUCUGUGCCAGCAGCCGCGGUAAUUC